ensembl:rRNA 5S_rRNA 5S ribosomal RNA
GUCAGCAGCCAUAUCACCCUGUAGCCCAAGACUGGUUGCCCACUGAAGCUAUGCAGGGUUGAGCCUGGUCAGUACCUGGAUGGGAGACCUCCUGGGAAAACUAGGUUGCUGCUGGAA